rnacentral:rRNA from 1 species
GAUGAACGCUGGCGGCGUGCCUAAUACAUGCAAGUCGAGCGAACGGACGAGAAGCUUGCUUCUCUGAUGUUAGCGGCGGACGGGUGAGUAACACGUGGAUAACCUACCUAUAAGACUGGGAUAACUUCGGGAAACCGGAGCUAAUACCGGAUAAUAUUUUGAACCGCAUGGUUCAAAAGUGAAAGACGGUCUUGCUGUCACUUAUAGAUGGAUCCGCGCUGCAUUAGCUAGUUGGUAAGGUAACGGCUUACCAAGGCAACGAUGCAUAGCCGACCUGAGAGGGUGAUCGGCCACACUGGAACUGAGCCACGGUCCAGACUCCUACGGGAGGCAGCAGUAGGAAUCUUCCGCAAUGGGCGAAAGCCUGACGGAGCAACGCCGCGUGAGUGAUGAAGGUCUUCGGAUCGUAAAACUCUGUUAUUAGGGAAGAACAUAUGUGUAAGUAACUGUGCACAUCUUGACGGUACCUAAUCAGAAAGCCACGGCUAACUACGUG